GAGGGUAUAACUCAAAUGGUAGAGUGAAUGCUUAGCAUGCAUUAGGUCCUGGGUUCAAUCCUCAGUGCCUCCU
rnacentral:tRNA from 1 species